CCGGCGCCGAUGAGAUCGUUCACCUGGAAGGAUGAAUGGGUGAUAUGAGUAUUCAGUAUCCACACGGUGAAGCGCCGGUGCAUUCUUUUGUAAGAAAGUUUCAUAGCUCAGGUGGCUAGUGCGUGGUGGUGUUGGUUGUGAGGUUCGAGGCCUCGUGGGAUGACUUUUUUUUUUCAGCGCCUAGUUUUGUCCAGGGGCAAUCAUGUCAAAUUUUCUUCUCCUAGCCCAGAACAUCAAUCUUUGUAAAAACGGCAAUGUUACCCAAAACGGGAAGUACGUAGAUCUGUCCCUGCUUGUUUGUUUUAACUUAAAGAACAUGAAUUACAUCUUGCAAAUUGUUGCAAUCUACAGACCAAGGGAAGUAACAUGUUUGGAUUGAA